rnacentral:lncRNA from 1 species
AUAGUUCAAGCCUGAAUUUCAAUGAGAUGGGAACACUUUUUAGUAUAAACGCAAGAUUUUCAUGUCUCCCUUUUAGGAAAAAUAGGGAUUAUGGCGUUCAUCUGUUUCAUCCAGAACUCGAAGCAAAACCCUAAACCUCAGACUCUUCCAGCAUGUCUGAUCCAAUCAAACAAGGGAAGAUGCUGCGGGUGCUUUGUAUGCUAAGGAAGUGCUACGAUGCCAUCGUCUGUCCAGGAAAAGAAAGGAACACCCAUCCAUGUGGUUAAGCCAUCAGAAAACUGGAGCAUUGGGAAUAAAGGAAUUAUUUCCAUGAGACAAGCACGCCAGCCAUUGGCUCAUAAUGAGCUGAAAGACCAAUGACUGCUUCUCAGAGACUCCCAAGGGCCCAGUGUCCUGGGGGCAGACCUGUGGCUGAGUCAGCAUGGUGCACAGCAGAAAGUGGGGGGAGAGUGGCCAGCGCUGCCCCGGCGGGCUCUGUCUGCAUCACCUGGAGCGGCACAGACCCUUCAGUCUCCAUUCUCUCUUCAGGAAAGAGGCCUACUCGCAGAUGAACACACCAAGGCUCAGAGACAAAGCAAAUCCGUGGGAUGCCGAGGGCACUUGGAUAACUUCCGCUCUGGAGAGAAGCCCAAACUCCGCGUCCCGGAGACCUGAAGUGUGGCCGCCAGUGGACACCCAGCUGAGGGAUGAGCAGCAAUGAAUGAGAGUUCCUAUUGCUCCACGUCCUCACCGCAUUUGCUGCUAUCUGUGCCCUGGAUUUGGGCCAUUCUGAUAGGUGUGUGGUAUCCAGUAGGUGUGUCUCGUUGUUUUAAUUUGCAUUUCUCUGAUGACAUAUGAUGUGGAUUAUCUUUUCAUCUGCUCAUUUGCCGUCUAUAUAUCUUCUCUGAGGCAUCUGCUCAGAUCUUUGCCUUUGGCCUUUUGUUAUCUUUAAAACACAGAAGGUGGUGCAGGGUGUGUUAAGAAGGCAUGUCUGGGCAAGUGGGUGCCUUUGCCUCUCCCUGCUGCCCCCGCACAGGAUUUCUCCAGGCUGUCUUGUCACCCAAUUCUAUUUGGUUGGGGCCACAUUUACCAGGGAUCCCCACUAUCCCAAAACUCUGCUUGAACACAUUGUCUGUCCAGGAGGGGCCUGUCGAGCUGCAAUUUAUGUUCUAUAGGUUCAGGCAGCUGCUGCUAAAGUGACAAAGUGACUCUCUGACCUGGUUUGCUGAGAUAGUCACAGAUGACACCUCUUAUCCUGGCUUAAUGGUUACAACUCCCACCCCACCAAAGUAUCUCAGUUUGGACAAUAACCACAGUUAUUAUCCUUGGGAAAGGACAUUUGGGCUCUGACAUCUGGCCUGGCUGAAUCACCUCCUCCCUGUUGGAGGGGGUCAGGGGUCAGGGUUGCUUCCCUGAAGCUCUGGAAAGGCCAGUGAAGGUGAAGGAGGUGUGACAGUAGAAACUGCUGCGAAGAGCAGACUCCUCUGUCCAUGGGCAGGGACCUCAAAGGCUUUCACUUCACACCCACCUCCAUCAACGUCAAUGGUCACCAAGGUCCUGAAGCCUUCCUGAAUUUCUUCCUGCAUUUCUCCAACCAGAGCAAUUCUCUUUCUUUGAGUCCUCAAGUCCACACUGAGCUUCUUUCUCCUCCCUUAGCACAUUCCUUCUCCUGAGAGACAGCUUAACAUGCAGCAGCUCUGUGACCUUGGGCCUCAGUUUCCCCAUCUGCAAAAUGAGGAGGGUCAUAGUGCCUGUCUCAGAGAGUCAUGAAGAGGAUAAAGUGAAUGAAUACAUGUAAUGUGCUGGGAGCAGCUUCGGACACAUGGAAAUGUUCGCUAUCAUUUUAAGCACUGAAUCUUAUCUUCCCUCCAGAUUGUAAGCAUCUUUCCUUUAAAAGAGCAAAGUUCAAAGUUAUGUGUUGAGUAAUGACCACACGCCAGGUGCUUUCACACCCACAUCAAUGCUCCAGACUCCAAGAGCUGGCGGUCAUUGGAUCCACUUCAUAGGGUGGAGAAGAGGAGGUUCAGAGAGGUGAACUAACGGGCCCAGGUCACACAGCAGAGCAGUGAAAAGGUCAUGGAUGGCUUAAAAUACCAGCCCUUCCUUCACCCUCCUUCAGCCUCUUUGUCUCUCUCUCUCUUUCUCACACACACACACACACACACACACACACACACACACACACACUCCCUUCAUAAAAAUCUCACAAUGGCAAGUGUCUUAUAUGAGACACACAGAGGAGAAGGUCCUGUGAAGAGGGAGGCAGAGAUUGGAGAAUCACAGCCAUAAGUCAAGGAAGGCCGACAACCACCAGAAGCUGGAAGGGGUAAGAGCAGCUUCCCCGCGCUGUUUCUAGAGGGUGCAUGGCCCUGCCAGUACCUUGAUUUUGGACUUCUGGCUUCCACAGUUGUGAGAUAACACACUUUCCUUGUUUUACGUCAACAUUUUGUGUAAUUUAUCUCGGCUGCCACAGAAAGCGAAUAGAAAUCGUUUUCCCUCAGCGCAACCUGGUGAUGCACGUGCUCACUUUGAAAACACGUCAUUUCCACCUGCAAAGGUUUUAGGUUCCUCAAAGGGACUGUGCAGAGGGAUCGCUGCAAGUGAAGUCAACAUUUGGCCUCAUUCUGUUAGAACACCUGCAAGAGGAGGCUCAGGUGCUGACUGAACAAAUCCCCUGGCUCUUGGGGUGGUCCAUGCCUUUACCGAAUGCCUCCUUUGUUGGGGUCAUUCUCCUGGGAAGACAUUCCCAUUGGAAGAUACUGGACCUUUCCUUUACCAUGUCAGGCAUGACACUCCUACGUUAAAAAACUGUCCAUACCAAGGGCAUGACAGGCAAUUCAUAGAAGAAAGCAGGAUGAUCAAUGGCCUAUGAAAGGAUCCUCAGCUGUGGCUAGGCGCGGUGGCUCACCUCUGUAAUCCCAGCACUUUGGGAGGCCAAGGCAAGAGGAUCACUUGAGCCCAGGCGUUCGAGACUGGCAUGGGAAACAUGGCAAAACCCCAUCUCUAUAAAAACUUAGCUGGGUGUGGUGGCAUGUGCCUGGAGUCCCAGCUACUCAGGAGGCUGAGGUGGGAAGAUCAUCUAAGCCCAGAAGGUUGAGGCCGCAGUGAGCCACCAUCGUACCACUGCACUCCAGCCUGGAUGACAGAGUGAAACCCUGUC